rnacentral:RNase_P_RNA from 1 species
GAAGCCCGCCAGGCCGUCGCUGGCACCGCAUGGGAAACCUGGUGCUGGAGGAACGUCCGGACUGCAAAGGGCAGCGUAGCAGGUAACACCUGUCCACCGUGAGGUGAGGAUCAGAGCAACAGAGACGAGCCGGUUCAGUCCGGGUGAAACGGGCAAUCUCUACGCGCAGCAACACCGAAUAGGCCGGCAUUGAGAUGGCUCCGUGGAGCCGGCGGGUAGGUGGCACCGAGCCGGGUGGGCGACCCCCGGCCCAGAUGAAUGACGGUCAGCCCCGGCGACGGGGUCACAGAAUCCGGCGUAUCGGUGGACUUCACAC